rnacentral:misc_RNA from 1 species
GGCUGCUGUGAUGUGCCUAAGCACGAAUUGGGCUUCUCCUCAUUGCUGAAACCUGCAUUUCCAUUUUCAAGCAUAUCUCUUGUGCCAAGUUUCAGGCUCCCAUUUAUUAAUCUGUCAGAAAAAUCCUCUAUUCUUCCUUUUUCUAGAGAAGGGACAGAAGAUCUUUCACCGGGAUUAAGCCUUUCAAUUUCAUAUAGAUUCCUUGGAUGCAAUUCAGAAUGAGGAAUUGAGGAAUUGAACAAACUGGGUGCUGCUCGCCAUGGUACGGGACCCGAUCCAGCUAAUUGACUCCAACUUUUGACAGAAAGGUCUUUAAACCUCUCAGGUAAAGGAGUAUUAUAAAAUAAAGAAGCUGGCCAUGCGCUAUUUGAUGUCAAAACAACAUUUUUCCUUGCACACGCCAUGCACUCAAUCCCUCCAG